rnacentral:rRNA from 1 species
UGGGGAAUAUUGCACAAUGGGCGCAAGCCUGAUGCAGCAACGCCGCGUGAGGGACGACGGCCUUCGGGUUGUAAACCUCUUUUGGCAGGGAAGAAGCGAAAGUGACGGUACCUGCAGAAAAAGCACCGGCUAACCACGUGCCAGCAGCCGCAGUGAUACGUAGGGUGCAAGCGUUGUCCGGAAUUAUUGGGCGUAAAGAGCUCGUAGGCGGUUUGUCGCGUCUGCUGUGAAAACCCGAGGCUCAACCUCGGGCCUGCAGUGGGUACGGGCAAACUAGAGUGCGGUAGGGGAGAUUGGAAUUCCUGGUGUAGCGGUGGAAUGCGCAGAUAUCAGGAGGAACACCGAUGGCGAAGGCAGAUCUCUGGGCCGUAACUGACGCUGAGGAGCGAAAGCAUGGGGAGCAAACA